AAGCCUUGCAGCAGCUACAAGAAGAAUUGCAGAAUAAGAGCCAACAGCUUCGUGCCUGGGAGGCUGAAAAAUACAAUGAGAUUCGAACCCAGGAACAAAACAUCCAGCACCUAAACCAUAGUCUGAGUCACAAGGAGCAGUUGCUUCAGGAAUUUCGGGAGCUCCUACGGUAUCGAGAUAACUCAGACAAAACCCUUGAAGCAAAUGAAACGUUGCUUGAGAAACUUCGCCAGCGAAUACAUGAUAAAGCUGUUGCUCUGGAGAGCACUCCCAGGAGAUGGAAAGCCUGAGGGAGGCUCUGCUGUCCUCUCGAUCCCACCUUCAAGAGCUGGAAGAGGAGCUGGAGCACCAGAAGGUGGAAAGGCAGCAGCUUUUGGAAGACUUGAGGGAGAAGCAGUAAGAGGUCUUGCGUUUAAGGGAGGAACGUCUUUCCCUCCAGGAAAACGACUCCAGCUUACAGCCUGGAUGUCUGUCACCAAAUCCCUUUGAGCAGUGACCUGAACCACCUGGUGGCAGAGGUAUGAGCUCUGAGAGGGCAGCUGGAGAAGAGCAUUCAGGGGAACAAUUGUCUGUGACUGCAGCUGCAACAGCAGCUGGAUAGCCUGCUGGCAAAGCCAGCCUCAGCCCCUCCUCUGUUAACCAGAACUUCCCAGCCAGCGCUGACCCUGGAAACAAGCAGCUGCUCCUCCAAGAUUCAGCUGUGUCCCCUCCAGUCCGGGAUGUUGGUAUGAAUUCCCCAGCUCUGGUCCUCCCCAGCUCUGCUUCCUCUACUCCUGGCUCAGAAACGGCCAUAAUCAACAGAACACAUGGUGCUAGGCAGCAAAGGCAUUCAUGAGCUUCGGAGCAGCACCAGUGCCCUGCACCAUGCCCUAGAGGAGUCGGCUUCCCUCCUCACCAUGUUCUGGAGAGCGGCCCUGCCAAGCACCCACAUCCCUGUGCUGCCUGGCAAAGUGGGAGAAUCAACAGAAACGGAACUUCUGGAACUGAGAACCAAAGUAUCCAAACAGGAGCGGCUCCUUCAGAGCACAGCUGAGCGUCUGAAGACCGCCAACCAACAGAAGGAGAGCAUGGAGCAGUUCAUCGUCAGCCAGCUAACCAGAACACAUGAUGUUUUAAAGAAGGCAAGGACUAACUUAGAGGUAAGGAAACUACUGCACCAGUCAGAGGCACCAAGCCUGUCCCCCACCCAUCACCAUCCGUUAGCAGAUAUUGUAGGCGACCCUUGGCCUGCUUUGGCCUUCCAGGAGAAGAUUUCCAGUCCACUUUCAAGAUCACAGGUCCUCAGUGAGCUUCCUGAUAGUUUCUGUUCCCAUCACCCUCCCACCCCGUCAGCUCCUGCCCCUGUAUCUUGGUUCACUCUCACAUUGUCAUCAUCUCUCCUUUUUACUCCAAUUUUUCUUCUUUGAUGCCAAGUUCGGAGACUGGAGAAUGCAAUUCAGCUCACUCUUGAAGUUGUUAGACAUUCAGGAGUCUGCCUCUGAAUGAGCUUUUGGUAGAGGGAUCUUGAGGCCAGUUAUGUGUUCUACUGUUCAUGAAAAAGUAAAAGCAGUUUGCAACCUAAUAAACUGAUUUCACUGCAUACUCCUGGGUUAAGAACAGCAAUUUGAUUUUGGUGUAUCUUUAAGUAACAUGUCAAAAGAGAUCUGUUGUGUCUCAUUGGUCUAAAAGAGAAUUUGUUAAUAAAUAACAACUGAACCUUGGGGGGUGGGGGCGGAAUGUUACAUAUGUACCAGACAUUAUCGACAUAAAACACUAAGUGUUAAUCAUUCCCUAGGAAGUGCUUUGAAGAAAAACUUGAGGUAUAUGAAAUGGUUUAAAAAUCAGAAACUAAACCUUUUAACGUGGACUUCAAAGCUUUGCCAUAAGCAAUUCAGCAUAUUCCUAGAAAUGUUUCUAAACCAUAACCUGAGAGAAUGUUGAUCUCCAUAGUGUAAAAAUGACUUGGGCCAGUUUAACUUGCUCUUUUUUUUAUUUUUUCACUAAUUCCCUUUUAUUUUUCUCUGAUAAUUCUUCUCUUUCCUGAGCCUCUUUAGAGCAGCACUUACAGGAUUGCCUGUGUAAAGCCUUAUUCCUGUCCCAGAAAAGGUAACCGAAAAAGUCUCUAGUAUCCUCUAAAAGGUAACCCAAAAGUCUCUAGUAUCCACUGGCUUUCUCCAGUGUGGAAGCUUUCCCCUCCACCUCCCAUAGAUCACUGGGAAGGACCUGAGGCCUCGGUUCUAAUCCCAGGCUUAUCACUAACUGCUGUGUGGCUUUGGCUUGUCCCUUAGUCUCUGUCAGACUGCUGCACCCUCAUCUGUCAAAGAUGGAACUGGACUUAGUUGAGCUCUGAGGUCCCUGUGGACUUGGCCCCUCCACACCCUCAUUAUGGCAACUGGACAUAAACUUAACAGAGGACUUCCCAGCAGAGUGUCCUCUUCUUCCUACAACAGGCUGUUUCUGUAUGUGCAUGUUUCAUGCUAAGCACUUCUUUCUUGGGUGGAGAUGGCAAAGGCCUCUUUCUGCUGAGACAAAGUGAUUUGGAGAGUCACCUGGCCCCUGAAGAGGGAGUGGUAGGAUCCAGCCACCCAGUGUGCAGUGAAUUGGAGCAGGGAUCUCAGCACACAGGGAGGUGGGGAGGCUCCCCCUAACCUCGGGCACCUGUUGCUCCUCCAGACUGCAGCGCAUGCUCUUAGCUCAUCCUCUUAACUGGCUCUCACCGUGCUCCUGGCUUUGGUCACCACGUAGCUCUCACUCCAGUUUCAGGUAGCCAUCAGUAGGGC
rnacentral:lncRNA from 1 species